rnacentral:rRNA from 1 species
UACGUAGGGGGCUAGCGUUGUCCGGAAUCAUUGGGCGUAAAGCGCGUGUAGGCGGCCCGGUAAGUCCGCUCUGAAAGUCGGGGGCUCAACCCUCGGAUGCGGGUGGAUACUGUCGGGCUUGAGUGCGGAAGAGGCGAGUGGAAUUCCUGGUGUAGCGGUGAAAUGCGCAGAUAUCAGGAGGAACACCAAUUGCGAAGGCAGCUCGCUGGGACGUUACUGACGCUGAGACGCGAAAGCGUGGGGAGCAAAUAGG